AGAAUGAACGCUGGCGGCAUGCCUAACACAUGCAAGUCGAACGAAGGCUUCGGCCUUAGUGGCGCACGGGUGCGUAACGCGUGGGAAUCUACCCUUAGGUUCGGAAUAACAGUUGGAAACGACUGCUAAUACCGGAUGAUGACGUAAGUCCAAAGAUUUAUCGCCUAGGGAUGAGCCCGCGUAGGAUUAGCUAGUUGGUGUGGUAAAGGCGCACCAAGGCGACGAUCCUUAGCUGGUCUGAGAGGAUGAUCAGCCACACUGGGACUGAGACACGGCCCAGACUCCUACGGGAGGCAGCAGUGGGGGAAUAUUGGACAAUGGGCGAAAGCCUGAUCCAGCAAUGCCGCGUGAGUGAUGAAGGCCUUAGGGUUGUAAAGCUCUUUUACCCGGGAUGAUAAUGACAGUACCGGGAGAAUAAGCUCCGGCUAACUCCGUGCCAGCAGCCGC
rnacentral:rRNA from 1 species